rnacentral:rRNA from 1 species
ACGAACGCUGGCGGCGUGCUUAACACCUGCAAGUCGAACGGAAAGGCCCUGCUUUUGUGGGGUGCUCGAGUGGCGAACGGGUGAGUAACACGUGAGUAACCUGCCCUUGACUUUGGGAUAACUUCAGGAAACUGGGGCUAAUACCGGAUAGGAGCUCCUGCUGCAUGGUGGGGGUUGGAAAGUUUCGGCGGUUGGGGAUGGACUCGCGGCUUAUCAGCUUGUUGGUGGGGUAGUGGCUUACCAAGGCUUUGACGGGUAGCCGGCCUGAGAGGGUGACCGGCCACAUUGGGACUGAGAUACGGCCCAGACUCCUACGGGAGGCAGCAGUGGGGAGUAUUGCACAAUGGGCGGAAGCCUGAUGCAGCAACGCCGCGUGCGGGAUGACGGCCUUCGGGUUGUAAACCGCUUUCGCCUGUGACGAAGCGUGAGUGACGGUAAUGGGGAAAGAAGCACCGGCUAACUACGU